AUACUUACCUGGCAGGGGAGAUACCAUGAUCAUGAAGGUGGUUUUCCCAGGGCGAGGCUUAUCCAUUGCACUCUGGAUGUGCUGACCCCUGCGAUUUUCCCAAAUGUGGGAAACUCGACUGCAUAAUUUUUGGUAGUGGGAGACUGCGUUCACGCUCUCCCCUU
rnacentral:snRNA from 1 species